UUUGUUUUCUUGCGCCUCCGGAAGUUCUCCUACGACCGCACCGCCUGCGGAGCUCCCCUGGCCUCCCCAUCCUCGGCGUGCUACCGCUCGUCGGCAUAGGACAUGGCAGCCGUGGGUGCCCGGUGGUGGAGACGGCGGUGGGCCGCGGGCACGAGCGCGUAUUGACGCUCACUAUUGACACAUCUUUACCCCUGUUUAUCUUCAAUAAUGACAUGAAUUUACUACCUAAACUAUUAAUUACACCUAAUAAACCGUUCAUUUUCA
rnacentral:lncRNA from 1 species